CCUACGGGAGGCUGCAGUAGGGAAUAUUGCUCAAUGGGGGAGACCCUGAAGCAGCAACGCCGCGUGGAGGAUGAAGGUUUUCGGAUUGUAAACUCCUUUUGUUAGAGAAGAUAAUGACGGUAUCUAACGAAUAAGCACCGGCUAACUCCGUGCCAGCAGCCGCGGUAAUACGGAGGGUGCAAGCGUUACUCGGAAUCACUGGGCGGAAAGAGCGCGUAGGCGGGAUAGCAAGUCAGAUGUGAAAUCCUAUGGCUUAACCAUAGAACUGCAUUUGAAACUGUUAUUCUAGAGUAUGGGAGAGGUAGGUGGAAUUCUUGGUGUAGUGGUAAAAUCCGUAGAGAUCAAGAGGAAUACUCAUUGCGAAGGCGACCUGCUAGAACCUAACUGACGCUGAUGCGCGAAAGCGUGGGGAGCAAACAGGAUUAGAUACCCGAGUAGUC
rnacentral:rRNA from 1 species